rnacentral:ribozyme from 1 species
UGCCCAGCAACUCCUAUCCGUACCUCCAAGUGGCACCGGCCUGACCGCGAGCAACCUCAGAGAAGAUCGAGUAACCAACCCCGGUGGGAACUUUGGUCGUAGGCUGACAGGGAAGG